AUUGAACGCUGGCGGCAGGCCUAACACAUGCAAGUCGAGCGGAUGAAGGGAGCUUGCUCCUGGAUUCAGCGGCGGACGGGUGAGUAAUGCCUAGGAAUCUGCCUGGUAGUGGGGGAUAACGUCCGGAAACGGGCGCUAAUACCGCAUACGUCCUGAGGGAGAAAGUGGGGGAUCUUCGGACCUCACGCUAUCAGAUGAGCCUAGGUCGGAUUAGCUAGUUGGUGGGGUAAAGGCCUACCAAGGCGACGAUCCGUAACUGGUCUGAGAGGAUGCUCAGUCACACUGGAACUGAGACACGGUCCAGACUCCUACGGGAGGCAGCAGUGGGGAAUAUUGGACAAUGGGCGAAAGCCUGAUCCAGCCAUGCCGCGUGUGUGAAGAAGGUCUUCGGAUUGUAAAGCACUUUAAGUUGGGAGGAAGGGCAGUAAGUUAAUACCUUGCUGUUUUGACGUUACCAACAGAAUAAGCACCGGCUAACUUCGUG
rnacentral:rRNA from 1 species